GACGAACGCUGGCGGAAUGCUUUACACAUGCAAGUCGAGCGGCAGCACGGGGGCAACCCUGGUGGCGAGCGGCGAACGGGUGAGUAAUACAUCGGAACAUGCCCAGUCGUGGGGGAUAACACUUCGAAAGAAGUGCUAAUACCGCAUACGUCCUGAGGGAGAAAGCGGGGGAUCGCAAGACCUCGCGCGAUUGGAGUGGCCGAUGUCAGAUUAGCUAGUUGGUGGGGUAAAGGCCUACCAAGGCAACGAUCUGUAGCUGGUCUGAGAGGAUGAUCAGCCACACUGGGACUGAGACACGGCCCAGACUCCUACGGGAGGCAGCAGUGGGGAAUUUUGGACAAUGGGGGCAACCCUGAUCCAGCCAUUCCGCGUGAGUGAAGAAGGCCUUCGGGUUGUAAAGCUCUUUCGGCAGGAACGAAACGGUGAGCUCUAACAUAGCUUGCUAAUGACGGUACCUGAAGAAGAAGCACCGGCUAACUACGUG
rnacentral:rRNA from 1 species